UCCCCCAUGGUGUAAUGGCAGCACACGGCUCUUUGGAACCUCUUGUCUUGGUUCGAAUCUGGGUGAGGGAACCU
rnacentral:tRNA from 2 species